GCUAGCGGCAGGCCUAACACAUGCAAGUCGAGGGGUAACAGGAAAGCUUGCUUUCGCUGACGACCGGCGCACGGGUGCGUAACGCGUAUGCAACCUACCUUACACUGGAGAAUAGCCCUUGGAAACGAGGAUUAAUGCUCCAUGGUAUCAUUUCUUCGCAUGUUGAAAUGAUUAAAGAAUUUCGGUGUAAGAUGGGCAUGCGUCCCAUUAGCUAGUUGGUGAGGUAACGGCUCACCAAGGCGACGAUGGGUAGGGGGCCUGAGAGGGUGGUCCCCCACACUGGUACUGAGACACGGACCAGACUCCUACGGGAGGCAGCAGUGAGGAAUAUUGGUCAAUGGAGGCAACUCUGAACCAGCCAUGCCGCGUGAAGGAUGACGGCCCUAUGGGUUGUAAACUUCUUUUGAAUAGGAAGAAACUUAUCUACGUGUAGAUAACUGACGGUACUAUUA
rnacentral:rRNA from 1 species